UGGGGAAUUUUCCGCAAUGGGCGAAAGCCUGACGGAGCAAUACCGCGUGAGGGAGGAAGGCUUUUGGGUUGUAAACCUCUUUUCUCAAGGAAGAACACAAUGACGGUACUUGAGGAAUAAGCAUCGGCUAACUCCGUGCCAGCAGCCGCGGUAAUACGGAGGAUGCAAGCGUUAUUCGGAAUUAUUGGGCGUAAAGCGUCCGCAGGUGGUAAUUCAAGUCUGCUGUCAAAGACCGAAGCUUAACUUCGGAAAGGCAGUGGAAACUGAAUAACUAGAGUACGGUAGGGGUAGAGGGAAUUUCCAGUGUAGCGGUGAAAUGCGUAGAGAUUGGAAAGAACACCAGUGGCGAAGGCGCUCUACUGGACCGUAACUGACACUCAGGGACGAAAGCUAGGGUAGCGAAAGGGAUUAGAUACCCCCGUAGUCC
rnacentral:rRNA from 1 species